rnacentral:snoRNA from 10 species
UAGCAAGCCUCCAGCGUGCUUGGGUCUGCGGUGACCCUAUGCAUUCCUUCAGUGCUUGCUAGAACAGUUUUGAAACGGUUUGAGGCCUUGCCCUGCUCCAUCCAGAGCAAGGUUAUAGAAAUUUCAGACAAUG